rnacentral:rRNA from 1 species
UACGGAGGGGGCUAGCGUUGUUCGGAAUUACUGGGCGUAAAGCGCACGUAGGCGGCUUUGCAAGUUAGAGGUGAAAGCCCGGGGCUCAACUCCGGAAUUGCCUUUAAAACUGCAUCGCUAGAAUUGUGGAGAGGUAAGUGGAAUUCCGAGUGUAGAGGUGAAAUUCGUAGAUAUUCGGAAGAACACCAGUGGCGAAGGCGGCCAACAUGGUCCGGUACUGACGCUGAGGUGCGAAAGCGUGGGGAGCAAACAGG